rnacentral:rRNA from 1 species
CAGCAGCCGCGGUAAUACGUAGGGUGCGAGCGUUAUUCGGAAUUACUGGGCUUAAAGCGCGUGUAGGCGGGUCGACACGUCCGAUGCUGAAAUCCCCCGGCUCAACCGGGGAAGUGGCCCGGAUACGAUCGACCUGGAGGGGGGUAGAGGGGCCUGGAACUUCCGGUGGAGCGGUGAAAUGCGUUGAUAUCGGAAAGAACACCAAUGGCGAAAGCACUCUGCUGGGCCGACACUAACACUGAGAGACGAAAGCUAGGGGAGCAAAUGGGAUUAGAGACCCCUGUAGUCCCUGUCUCUUAUA